AAUUUCCUGACCCAAGACCAGCGCCCAGGAAGUACACCAUUAGUUUGGAAUCAAUCGAUGAAUGUUAGGAGGCUUUGGAGAGAGACCCCAGUGAACAGGUGGUGGUGGCACGGAAGGCGAAGAGUCGAGUGAAUUUCUUCAAGCGCUUAUUUACUGCUCGAAAAUGAAGACUUCCCGGACCAGGUCACGCUACUUGGUCUUGGCGUACUUUGCGACACCACAUUUGCUUGUUUACAUGUGCCUGGAG